AAGCCAUGCAAUAAGAGGCUUGAGAUUUCACCAACUCUGGAGACUCACUUGGGCACAACUGAAACUAUAACAAACUUGGUGCUCAGUGCCAUUUUCCUUUGGCAGUGUUACAAGGCUGUUGAUUUUCUAAUCUCUGUAAUUGGGAAAGAGAUGAUCUGUAACCUGCUUUACUCCUGAGCUGAUUGAGAGGAACAGAUAAAUCAACUGGUGGAGGAAAAUACAAAACUUAAGAGACAGACCAAACAUCGUAACAUUAAAAAGCAAAGGAGGAAGAACAGACUAUAGAAAUAUUUUAAAGGAUUACGUGGAUUAGAAAAGAUGUCAAAAGCAUUAACACAUCAACUCCAAAAUGGAAGUACUAUUGUUAUCUCCGUUUACAAAUUAGGAAACUGAGGCACAGAUAUGCUCUUGGGUACUUGUCAGCAGCAGUUGUUCUACAAGCUAAAUAUCUGGAUAUCUUAAAUCUCAGAUGAGCGUCUUAGCCUCUGGAUUACUGCUCAAUGAGGAAAGCUAUGAAAUGCAUGGAUAACUUGCUAAUCAGUAUUUGCCAUAUGUGCUAGCAGCAUCAGCAUCAGUUGGGAGAUUAUGGUGGCCUCCAUGUCAGACCUCCUAAAUCGGAAUAUCAGAGAAGGUGGCCCAGGUUACCAUGCUUCAUCUGCCAAUGCAUUGAAAACUUGGAAUGUAAAUUAAUUCAACCAUUGUGGAAGAUGGUGUAGUGAUUCCUCAAAGACCUAGAAGCAGAAAUAUCAUUUGAUCCAGAAAUCCCAUUACUGUGUAUACACCCAAAGGAAUAUAAACCAUUCUAUUACAAA
ensembl:lncRNA novel transcript